UCAGGUAGGGUUAUAUGAAUUUUUUUGGAGGCAGAACUCUUGGCUUGAUUAGAACAACAGCAACAACACAGAAGUACAGAAGCAAUCAAAACUUGUGAAAAAUCUAAAUGCUUUGCUGUGAAACUAAACUUUGUGCUGGGGAAUGAGCAAACAUCUUGUUUUGGUGUCAUUGGCCAAACCCAGAACUUACCUUCCACAUGAAUGAAGUUUCAGUGAACAAGGCUGCAUCUCCUGAUGUAGCCCUGGGAGCCACCACUCUAUCAACACAGCUACUGUUGAAAUGAAGAAGGACCCAAACAGAUGUAUCUCACUUUGUUUUGGCAAGAAAAUCCUCAAGUCACACUUGAAACACCCUUUGUUUUGAGACCUUCCUUUUCCUCAACCCUGUGGUGAAUUUUCUGUGUCUGAAGUUUUGGAUUUUAUGGAGCUCACUGCUGUUUGCCAACUUCAAUGGAGAACCUGAGAGCAGGCACACAUUUCCCAAGGCUUUGGCCAGCCACAAGGAACAGG